rnacentral:rRNA from 1 species
UAGGGAAUCUUCCGCAAUGGACGCAAGUCUGACGGAGCAACGCCGCGUGAGUGAAGAAGGAUUUCGGUUCGUAAAACUCUGUUGUUAGAGAAGAACAGCGCAUAGAGUAACUGUUAUGCGUGUGACGGUAUCUAACCAGAAAGCCACGGCUAACUACGUGCCAGCAGCCGCGGUAAUACGUAGGUGGCAAGCGUUGUCCGGAUUUAUUGGGCGUAAAGCGAGCGCAGGCGGUCAAUUAAGUCUGAUGUGAAAGCCCCCGGCUCAACCGGGGAGGGUCAUUGGAAACUGGUUGACUUGAGUGCAGAAGAGGAGAGUGGAAUUCCAUGUGUAGCGGUGAAAUGCGUAGAUAUAUGGAGGAACACCAGUGGCGAAGGCGACUCUCUGGUCUGUAACUGACGCUGAGGCUCGAAAGCGUGGGAAGCGAACAGG